GCCUAUACAAAAACCAUGGUUUCUCGGGGGAAGCAUGUUCUUCCAUGCCCACGUUUCCUUCAUCAGCUUUUAACAAAACAAAGAAUUGUUCCGUACUCGACAAUUUAAGCCUUAUGGCAGCAGCAAACAGUUGUCACCUGUGAGUGUGAAGAAGAUAAGAAUAUUCCAUCUCCAUUCAACAAGUUCCAGCCAUUACAAAGGAGAGUGAAGCACCACAUCAUUGCUUAUCAUGUCCAAGUUCAAUGAAUCUCUUUUGGGUUAUUAACGAAUUUGACCUGAAAACAUACCCAGGUUCAUUUCAAGUUCAACUUUAAAAAAAAAAAACAUUCGCUUGUUUGUACCUUUGAUGUGACUCCGAGAUAUCAUCGGAUUCUAGCUGAUUGGGAAAAGUGCAAAAUCUAAAAUCUAUAUAUAACCCAUGAUUUUCAACCAGAUUAACCCAACAGCCAAACGCGGCUGUGGGUUUAAUAGCCGG
rnacentral:lncRNA from 1 species